CAGAAACUGAAGUCAGAGGGACUGCUGGACCAUUAUUCAGAGUGAUUGUGAUUAUUGUUGAGUUUGCAGUGUUUGCUGCUCCUACUGUGAUUCUUCUUCAGAUCAUCUGUGACAGAAGAGCUGAAAACAAAGAAAAACUCUGACCACCUUGAAGAAAUGAUGCCAUCCAUUUUUUAAUUUUUAAUUUUUAUUUUUUUUUAACAAAUAACAGGCGAGCUGAAUUUUCAUUUCUAUGGAGUUAAUGGAUAUUUGCAUGCAGUGUGUACAGUCAUUUUCUUGUGUUUGGUAUAUAACCUGCUUUAAAUACAGUAUUAAAUACAGUAAUUUACAGAUUAUUUGUAUAAUAAUCUCUGUUCUGUGUGAUGGAGCUGCUUUUGUGAAUCUUUUAUCUCAUCUGUUAGUUUUUGUUUUUUAUCUUUUUUUUUAUUAUUUGUUUAUAUUUUGGUUGAUUGCUAAUCAUUUCCUUAAUAAAACCUCUGCAA